rnacentral:rRNA from 1 species
AUUAGUUUUUUAAUUGAAGGCUGGAAUGAAAGGUUGGUCAAGAGAUAGUCUGUCUUAAAAAAAAAUAUUGAAUUUAACUUUUAAGUGAAAAGGCUUAAAUGAUUUGAAGGGACGAUAAGACCCUAUAAAACUUUAUAUUUAAGGAUAUAGACUAUUUUUAUUUGUGAACUAUUAUCAAAAGUAUUUGGUUGGGGUGACAGGGAUAGAAUAUAAAGUAACUGUCCUUUUUUUUAACAAUAAUAUUUGACUUAGCGAUCCCUGGGAAGGAUUAAAGAUUAAGUUACUUUAGGGAUAACAGCGUGAUUUUCUUUGAGAGUUCUUAUCGACGGGAGAGUUUGCGACCUCGAUGUUGAAUUAAAGGUUCUUUAUGGAGUAGAGACUAUAAUAGAAGGUCUGUUCGACCUUUAAAAUUUUACAUGAUUUGAGUUCAGACCGGUGUGAG